rnacentral:rRNA from 1 species
CAGCCGCCGCGGUAAUACCGGCGGCCCGAGUGGCGGUCACUAUUAUUUGGCUUAAAGCGUCCGUAGCCGGGUUGGGAAGUCCUCCGGGAAAUCUGGCCGCUUAACGGUCAGAAUGCCGGAGGAUACUCCCAGCCUAGGGAGCGGGAGAGGCCGAGGGUAUUCCCGGAGGAGGGGUGAAAUCCUAUAAUCCCGGGAGGACCACCUGUGGCGAAGGCGCUCGGCUGGAACGCGUCCGACGGUGAGGGACGAAGGCCAGGGGAGCAAACCGGAUUAGAUACCCGGGUAGUCCUGGCUGUAAACGAUGCGGACUUUGUGUCGGACAAGCUAUGAGCUUGUCCGGUGCCGGAGGGAAACCGUUAAGUCCGCCGCCUGGGGAGUACGGCCGCAAGGCUGAAACUUAAAGGAAUUGGCGGG